rnacentral:tRNA from 1 species
GGAGAGGUGGGUGAGUGGUUGAAACCGCACGCUUGGAAAGCGUGUUAAGGGUUAAACCUUACGAGGGUUCGAAUCCCUCCCUCUCCG